rnacentral:misc_RNA from 1 species
CUGCGCUCGCCGGCUCCCUCGCCAUGCCGCCGUGCCCCCUGCCCUAUCUUCCUAGCCGACGCCCAGGCUCUUCCCAAGUCGCCUCAUCUCCGGCCGUCGAGUGGAGCACCAGCGGAGUCCCUCCCUAGUCGUGUCUCCUCCCCUCCUGACAGCUGCUAUUCUUUCUUCCUUCCCCGACGUCGGAUCCCAGCUCGCAGAGCUUCCUCUGCGCGGCGCUCCUGUGUCCUGAACUCCCUCAGCCAUGGCGCGUUCUCCCUGCGCGCCCAGCUGUUCUCUCCCUCCCUCUACUUCUUCCUCGCUGCGCGCCCAUCUCAAUGGCCGCUGCGUCGAGUUCUGAGCUCGCGCCUAGCUCCCCUGUGCGCGCUCAGCUUGGAGUUCUUGUUAGAAAUAUAG